rnacentral:misc_RNA from 1 species
GAUGAAGAACGCAGCGAAAUGCGAUAAGUAAUGUGAAUUGCAGAAUUCAGUGAAUCAUCGAAUCUUUGAACGCAUCUUGCGCUCCUUGGUAUUCUGAGGAGCAUGCCUGUUUGAGUGUCAUUAAAUUCUCAACUACACUGACUUUGAAUUGGUGUGGCUUGGAUUUGGGGGGAAAAUUGUUGUGGGCUUUUUGUAUAGUCUGCUCCCCUGAAAUUGAUUAGCGGUACCUUUGUGGAACUGUCUACAGGUGUGAUAAUUAUCUACAUCUUAGACAUCUGCUGGAAUGCUGCUUUCUAAACCUUACUUGUAUUGACAAUCUUGACCUCAAAUCAGGUAGGACUACCCACUGAACUUAAGCAUAUCAAUAAGCGGAGGA